GACGAACGCUGGCGGCGCACAUAAGACAUGCCAGUCGAACGAACUUAACCGAAUGUUUACAUUUGGAGCGGUUAGUGGCGGACUGGUGAGUAACACGUAAGCAAUCUGCCUAUUAGAGGGGAAUAACAGUGAGAAAUCAUUGCUAAUACCGCCUAUGUCAUAGUUAUCGGAUGAUAAUAGUGGGAAAGGAGAAAUCCGCUAAUAGAUGAACUUGCGAUUGAUUAGUUAGUUGGUGGGGUAACGGCCUACCAAGACCGCGAUCAGUAGCCGGACUGAGAGGUUGAACGGCCACAUUGGGACUGAGAUACGGCCCAGACUCCUACGGGAGGCAGCAGUCGGGAAUAUUGCGCAAUGGAGGAAACUCUGACGCAGUGACGCCGCGUAUAGGAAGAAGGUUUUCGGAUUGUAAACUAUUGUCUACAGGGAAGAAGUCAAUGACGGUACCUGUAAAGAAAGCUCCGGCUAACUACGUGCCAGCAGCCGCCGUAAAAC
rnacentral:rRNA from 1 species